UCUAACUAAUUAUACUCGGGUUGCUGGGUAGAACGACGGAUCCUUUGGGGUCUCCCGGGAUCGGGUUCUAUGGAGCUGCCUUCCCCGGACGGGUCUGUUACGACGUCGACGUGCUCCGGCGACUCGUCCUGCUUUAAUUCCAACUUCAGUUGGUUGUUGGCCACCACUGUGUCAAUACCCACUGUUAGAUAAGAGGUCAUGAGCUCACCUAGGUUUUUUCAUCAACCAAGAGAUUAGACCUCCUCGUAACUAUGAUAAGUCUCAUCUUGCAUCCAAUCUUUGAUAUUCCUUCUUAACUACACAGAGAUUUUGGAUCUCUGUGUAGCUUUUAAAAAGUGAGUCCCAUCCAAGUUUAGUGUGAGUUUAAGGCAUGGAGGCACCAAAAUUUUGGAGGCGAUUCAAUUCAAGACAACAAGAAAUUUUCGACAGCAGUCACCAUGGAUGGUAUUACAGUCACAAAGAGAACUACAAGGGCUUUCCAUCUCAAAAAAAGGAACAUCGCAACCUCAGUCACAAGGUAGUUCGACCACUUAGACCAGAGAGAAGGAACACUCCAAUCAGAGGAAACAGUAAACCAAUACAUCCAUUCUAUGGCUUUAUCAAUAAGUGGUUACACACAACCCAUGAUAUUAGAAACUUUAGAAAGCUACAAUAUAUCCCACCAAUUUGCAGAGAGGGAUUCAACGUACUACGCACUCCUCAAACACGAUAUAUGAUUGACAUUCCAGACUCAAAGACUGGCCUACCAGUUCAUUUAGGAUGGAAGGAGAGAGA
rnacentral:lncRNA from 1 species